GCGUGAGUGAAGAAGGCCUUCGGGUUGUAAAGCUCUUUCAGCUGGAACGAAACGGUACGCUCUAACAUAGCGUGCUAAUGACGGUACCGGCAGAAGAAGCACCGGCUAACUACGUGCCAGCAGCCGCGGUAAUACGUAGGGUGCGAGCGUUAAUCGGAAUUACUGGGCGUAAAGCGUGCGCAGGCGGAUUGUUAAGCAAGACGUGAAAUCCCCGGGCUUAACCUGGGAAUGGCGUUUUGAACUGGCAGUCUAGAGUGCGUCAGAGGGGGGUGGAAUUCCACGUGUAGCAGUGAAAUGCGUAGAGAUGUGGAGGAACACCGAUGGCGAAGGCAGCCCCCUGGGAUGACACUGACGCUCAUGUACGAAAGCGUGGGUAGCAAACAGGAUUAGAUACCCUGGUAGUCCACGCCCUAAACGAUGUCAACUGGUUGUUGGGGGAGUGAAAUCCCUUAGUAACGAAGCUAACGCGUGAAGUUGACCGCCUGGGGAGUACGGUCGCAAGAUUAAAACUCAAAUGAAUUGACG
rnacentral:rRNA from 1 species